GUUACCAGGAUGGUAGGGAAGUUGUACCUUUAGUUCAGGGGAGGCCUAAGAGGUCAGGACUCUGGGAUUCUGUUUUUUCUCCUAAGUCCAGAAGACUUACUAGCUGGCAGGCACAAAGGGCUGAAGCUUGAGCACACUUGGGGAGUGACACACUCACUCCUCUCCAGGCAGCAGGACGAUGCACAGGUUGGGCAGCAAGAGGGCAUGAAGCCAGACAGAAGUCUCUUCAGGAAAGGCCGGGCUGUCCUAGGGCAGGGGAGCUGCCCUAAGGCUCGCUUACACUCUUCCUUUUUCAUGUGAACCACCAACAUUUAUCAAGCAUUUACUCCAGGACAAGUGCUGUUGUGUGUGCUCGAAGAAGGCAGUGAAGAAAAGGGAAAAUGGCUCUGCUGUCAGAGUUUAUAUUCUAGUUGUGGGAGACCAACAAGUAAACAGCAUGCAUGUCAA